GUGAUCUUGCUGCCGUUGAUCUCCUUCACGUCGAUGUUGCGGGGGCUGAGGAUCCAGGGCACCAGGAUCUUCAGGUUGUUGAUGAACUCGCCGUCAAUCUCUAGAGAAGGACAAUCAGUUUGUGUCAUAAUCUGUUAUAGCUCGUCUCCCAGUGACAAAACGUGACCUGCAGACAUCUUCCAAGUUGGGAUGCACCAAGUGAAAUCUUCUGGCCGAUCACCGAUUUUUUUUUUUUUUUUUUUUUUAAAGACCUGAACUGGGUACGGUUGUACAUCUGCUUCCUAUGGACCUGUGAACCUCACCGACCGGUGCACUCAGACGGCACUAAACUGUGGUACCUGCAU